rnacentral:rRNA from 1 species
GAUGAACGCUGGCGGCGUGCCUAAUACAUGCAAGUCGAGCGAACGGACGAGAAGCUUGCUCUUCUGAGGUUAGCGGCGGACGGGUGAGUAACACGUGGAUAACCUACCUAUAAGACUGGGAUAACUUCGGGAAACCGGAGCUAAUACCGGAUAAUAUAUUGAACCGCAUGGUUCAAUAGAGAAAGACGGUUUUGCUGUCACUUAUAGAUGGAUCCGCGCCGCAUUAGCUAGUUGGUAAGGUAACGGCUUACCAAGGCAACGAUGCGUAGCCGACCUGAGAGGGUGAUCGGCCACACUGGAACUGAGACACGGUCCAGACUCCUACGGGAGGCAGCAGUAGGGAAUCUUCCGCAAUGGGCGAAAGCCUGACGGAGCAACGCCGCGUGAGUGAUGAAGGUCUUCGGAUCGUAAAACUCUGUUAUUAGGGAAGAACAAAAGUGUAAGUAACUGUGCACGUCUUGACGGUACCUAAUCAGAAAGCCACGGCUAACUACGUG